UUCCUGGUGCCCUUGCCUGAUUGGAACCACUUCUAUCCAUCCCGAACUAGAAAGUGAAACGAUCAGGGGGCGAUGAUACUUUUCGCGGGAGCGUCUGGAAAAGCAGUCUGGUGCCAGGUCACAAUUAUUGACGUAACGUG
rnacentral:rRNA from 1 species